rnacentral:sRNA from 1 species
CACAUUAUUCGCACCAUUCAUCGAAUGGUGGGUUAGCGCGCGUCCGAAAGCAGUCACAGCAAACCCGCCCCGUGAGGCGGGUUUU